AUGUGACGGAGGGAGUAUAAUAAAAGAAUGAAAGAAAGCAUUGGAUCUUUUACAUUAAUUCACCCAACAAAAAAAAAUGUUGGAGAAUGGGGUACACACUAACCAAAAGAGACAUGGCGAACAACCACUUACCAUACCACACAUACGCAAUAAAAUCGAUCCACUAACAAAAUGAGAUAUAAGGGAAAAAAAAACCGCAUCAAAGGCAAAUGAUGCAGUACAUAUCUCAUUUAAGUCGGGAUCACUUAUUUCCAAAUAAUGUAAUGUACCUAUCCUAUAUUACGAUUACGACAAAACGACACGACCCAUUACACAAAACGCAGAAAGUAAAUAAAUAGACGACCACCAUUCCGCAAUCACAUCUUCGCGGAGGAGCUCCGCCAGAAGCCGCCGCUGUAGAAGUGAUCGAACAUCUCC
rnacentral:lncRNA from 1 species